rnacentral:lncRNA from 1 species
CUAUCAUGUUAACAGGUGAGACAGAAGUAAUCCAGACGCUGUGGCAAGGUACAGUGUCAACACACAAUUAUUCACUUACUGUGGCCAAUGUACCUGUACCUGUUUGAAUAUGUUGAAUUAGAAUAUGUUCAAAUAGGGAAACAUCAAAGGUAGUGGCCGAGUAUUUCUUCAACUGCUUAUGGUAGUCAGAGUGAAUACUCAAUGCUUGUUAGUGCAGGUGCCUCUGGUUUUCCAGCGCAGGGUGUUUUUUCAGUUACACAUCCUGCUAAAAUUAGUGAAUUUAAAUAAACUCUCAGAUCUUUUGGCCGGGCAUUACUGUGCCAACAUUGUAGCUGGAGUGGGCAAAUAUGGCCACCACUUUGGAGAGUUUUCUCUCUUUCUUUCUAGACUGUGGAAUUAUCUUUUCUUCAUAUUUGCUUUUUGUGACUGUUCAUUUCUUUCAGAUGGCCAAUAUCUACACCCUACUUGAAAAACACAGACUGGAAAGAUUUUACAAAAAAUUCCUUGAUUUAGGAGUGAAGGACGAGAGGGACUUCCUUGAUGGAAUCUCUGAUGAAGACUUAAACAAUAUUGGGUUGUCUCAAGUGGAGAAGAACCGGUUUAAAACAAUGCUGGAUGUUAUUAAGAGGCUUGGAAAAGGUGAUGGUCCACUCAUGCAUGCAAUGGAUGUCAAAAAGUCACUGGCAGGAUGUAAUCUGUUCUACUCAUUCCCCAAAUGCCCUGAGCCCAGAGAAUUAAGAGACUUGGAUGCUGCACAAAAUACUGUGGAAGAUCUUUUGCUCCGAAUCAGUUAUCAGGAGGAGAUUGGUAAUAGUAUGGGUGUAUGCCUUUUCACUGCCGAGGGAAUGCCACUCACCGACGAUCCCUUUUUCAAUACAUGGUCAUUAAAUGACAGACACAUAGAGAAAUGGAAUCACCUCUAUGCCAUAUUCACACCCAAAGAGAAUCUUCCAACACGGCAACCAACAACUCAGGCAGCCUGGGACAACACUGGGAUGGACACUGUGCGAUGUCACAUUAUGUUGAAGGGUAACUAUGAAAUCAAAGUCGACCUGGAAAGCCAUUCAGUGGUUGAUCUGAAGAAAGGCCUGGCUCAUGCAAGUGGAAUUCCAUCAAAUGUGCUGCAUUCAUGGGAUCUACCAGUGAAUUUGAACCCUUUGAAAGAUAAUGGGAUAAAUGAGGACUCCCUGGUGCAUUUUUUCCUGUCCUCAUUUGGUCAGGAGUCCGAAAGUUGUCCAAGUUUCGAUGUUUUUUUCAUGGCUGAUAUCAAGCCCUCCGUGCAGCAGACACCAAAGGGCAUGAGUGUCUUUUUUUCAACUUUAUACUCCACCAGAAUGGAAAAGCAAGGAGAAGGAUUCAAAAAUGUAGUGGCUUAUAUUCGCAAACUCACUGGAUGUCACCCCCUAGCUCAGAUUUUGCAUCAGGUGAUGUGCAGGAAUGAGGUUGGGACCAACGUACAGAAGGUAAUGAAAUAACCGAGGAAUGCUUUCUGUGAAUAUUUUGUAUUGGGUAUCACAAAAGGUCAUACUGGAGGGAAGUUGUUUAAAAAGCAGUUUUAUUGUUUAAUGCGGAACAAAUCCAAUUGCAACAUCUAUCUUGUCCAUUUGAAAUCAUUGAAAGGCAAAUAUGGAUGCAUACCCAUCUGGUAAUAACGUAGGAUUUCACUGAUUUUAAGAACAGAUUAGGGUAAAGCAUAGCGAUACACAUUGUACAAAAUAUGGGGGUCAAUUCAUACCACCUACUGUCUCGUUAAGGACAAAUACUGUAUUACACAGACAGAUACACUUGUUACCAGAACUCUGUGAUUGUGAUAAUUAACACAUUUUAAUCAUCUAGGCCUACUCUCAUACAGUCAUAAUUUUUGCAAAUGCAAUCGGCAACUGGACUUUAUUUCAUAAAUUGAUACCAAUUACUUGGUUUGUUUUAUACGGGAUAGGUAUAUUUAUUGUCUUUUUUCAUUUUGUCAUCUAUUUUG